rnacentral:rRNA from 1 species
UACGGAGGGUGCAAACGUUGCUCGGAAUUAUUGGGCGUAAAGCGCACGUAGGCGGCCUGAUAAGUCGGGUGUGAAAGCCCUGGGCUCAACCCAGGAAGUGCACUCGAAACUGUCAGGCUUGAAUAUGGAAGAGGGUCGCGGAAUUCCCGGUGUAGUGGUGGAAUGCGUAGAUAUCGGGAGGAACACCAGUGGCGAAGGCGGUUGCCUGGGGCUUUGCUGACGCUGAUGCGCGAAAGCGUGGGGAGCGAUCCGG